GUGUGCGGCCAAGCCACCCUGAACGUGCCCAGUCUCGUCUGAUCUCGGAACCUAAGCAGGGUCGGGCCUGGUUAGUACUUGGAUGGGAGACACCUCUUAGCAGGACAAACUGAACAGA
rnacentral:rRNA from 1 species